rnacentral:lncRNA from 1 species
UCGGACCUCGCGAAGCCAUUUGGUUGCUUAUUCCCUUCUCUCUAACAACGACUUCCCUUCUCGCUCUAGGUAAGUUUUUUUUUUGUUUUAGUUUUAGGUGGUUAGUUAGGUGAUUAGAUUAGGUUUGGAAUUAGUUUAGGAUGGAAGUAGAUUAGGAUGGAGUUAGAUUAUGGUGAAAUUAGAAUAGGUUUAGAUUAUUUAUAUAAAAAAUUUGAAUUGUUUAUAACCAUCUAUUGUUUUUGUUUUUUUUCUUCAGAUUGAUGAUGAUGCUAUGGCUGGCAGUAGAAAGAGACUUAGGAACUUUGCGCCUAGAAAAUCUUACGGGAGUACGUUUCUCGGACAGCCGGAUCCAUCAGCUUCUAUCUCCGGCAUAUCAUCCGACUUCUUCGACGAAAUAAACCUUAAUGCUUAGUUUUUUUCGGUUUUAAUUAAUUUGUAUUUUGAAUGUUUUAUAUUAUGGAUAUUAUUAUGUUUACGGAUGUUAGAUAGUUUCUUUUAAUUUUAUCAAAUUUUAAAUAAUUAAAAUAAACUAAAUUUAAAUAUUUAAUUUUAAUUAAUUUAUAAAAUUUGUAAAUAAAUAUAAAAUUCAAAAAUAAAUAAAUAAAAUUGGUCAAAUUUACGACUAAUGAACAUCUAAAGUCGAUGUAAAGUGGUCGUUACCUUACGACUAAUAAACAUCGACAUUAGAGGUAAAUUGGCCGUAAAGUUACGACCAGUGUAAGACUAAUAUGCCUAGUCAUAAUAUUACGACCAAUGUGACUUUAAUAAUUAAAUACAACCAGCUUCUAAUGACCAAUCGAUUUUCGAAGUUAAUUUGUCGUAAUGCCCAUAUUACGACCAACUAGCUACUAAUACUGUAGUUGUUAAGGUCCUUUUCUGUAGUGAAUUAAAAAUAUCUAGAUUUUUUAAUUCAAAUCGAAACAGAUAAAAAAUCAAAUCAAAAUUUACAGAUCUUUUGCCAAACCUGCACAUGACACAUCAUUCGAGAAUCAUUAUGUUAGGCAUAGUACCGUUUGGGAAAAUCCAGUAUCUAUGACAUGC